GAGCGGGCGUAGCAAUACGUCAGCGGCAGACGGGUGAGUAACGCGUGGGAACGUACCUUUUGGUUCGGAACAACACAGGGAAACUUGUGCUAAUACCGGAUAAGCCCUUACGGGGAAAGAUUUAUCGCCGAAAGAUCGGCCCGCGUCUGAUUAGCUAGUUGGUGAGGUAAAGGCUCACCAAGGCGACGAUCAGUAGCUGGUCUGAGAGGACGAUCAGCCACACUGGGAUUGAGAACGGCCCAGACUCCUACGGGGGGCAGCAGUGAGGAAUUUUCCGCAAUGGGCUAGAGGCCUGACGGAGCAACGCCGCGUGCAGGAGGACGCUUUUCGGAGUGUAAACUGCCUUUCUGUGGGACGAGUGAGGACGGUACCACAGGAAGAAGCCCCGGCUAACUACGUG
rnacentral:rRNA from 1 species